CGGAGAGUUUGAUCCUGGCUCAGGACGAACGCUGGCGGCGUGCCUAAUACAUGCAAGUCGAACGGGGUUGCACGGCGGAAGCCUUCGGGUGGAAGCUGUGCGGCCUAGUGGCGGACGGGUGAGUAACGCGUGGGCAACCUGCCCUCCAGCCCGGGAUAACUUCCGGAAACGGGAGCUAAUCCCGGAUGCGGAGCAAAGGACGCAUGUUUUUUGCUCGAAAGCUUCGGCGCUGGAGGAUGGGCCCGCGUCCCAUUAGCUAGUUGGUGAGGUAACGGCUCACCAAGGCGACGAUGGGUAGCCGGCCUGAGAGGGUGAACGGCCACACUGGGACUGAGACACGGCCCAGACUCCUACGGGAGGCAGCAGUAGGGAAUCUUGCGCAAUGGGCGAAAGCCUGACGCAGCGACGCCGCGUGAGGGAAGAAGGCCUUCGGGUCGUAAACCUCUGUCCUUGGGGACGAUGAUGACGGUACCCAAGGAGGAAGCCCCGGCUAACUACGUGCCAGCAGCCGCGGUAAUACGUAGGGGGCGAGCGUUGUCCGGAAUCACUGGGCGUAAAGGGUGCGUAGGCGGCUUGGCAAGUCCUGUGUGAAAGGUCGCGGCUCAACCGCGGUGGGUCAUGGGAAACUGCCAAGCUCGAGUGCCGGAGAGGAUAGCGGAAUUCCCGGUGUAGCGGUGAAAUGCGUAGAGAUCGGGAGGAACACCAGUGGCGAAGGCGGCUAUCUGGAAGGUCACUGACGCUGAGGCACGACAGCUGGGGGAGCAAACAGGAUUAGAUACCCUGGUAGUCCCAGCCGUAAACGAUGAGUGCUAGGUGUUGCGGGUAUCGACCCCUGCAGUGCCGAAGUCAACACAAUAAGCACUCCGCCUGGGGAGUACGGCCGCAAGGCUGAAACUCAAAGGAAUUGACGGGGGCCCGCACAAGCGGUGGAGCAUGUGGUUUAAUUCGAUGCAACGCGAAGAACCUUACCAGGGCUUGACAUCCCGCGAACCCCGUGGAAACACGGGGGUGCCCUUCGGGGAGCGCGGAGACAGGUGGUGCAUGGUUGUCGUCAGCUCGUGUCGUGAGAUGUUGGGUUAAGUCCCGCAACGAGCGCAACCCCUACGCUGUGUUGCCAGCACCUGGGGUGGGGACUCACAGCGGACUGCCGGUGACAAACCGGAGGAAGGUGGGGACGACGUCAAAUCAUCAUGCCCCUUAUGUCCUGGGCGACACACGUGCUACAAUGGCCGGUACAGACGGAAGCGAACCCGCGAGGGGGAGCGAAUCCGAGAAAGCCGGUCUCAGUUCGGAUUGCAGGCUGCAACUCGCCUGCAUGAAGGCGGAAUCGCUAGUAAUCGCAGGUCAGCAUACUGCGGUGAAUACGUUCCCGGGCCUUGUACACACCGCCCGUCACACCACGAAAGUCUGGAACACCCGAAGCCGGUGGCCUAACCCGUAAGGGAGGGAGCCGUCGAAGGUGGGCCAGAUGAUUGGGGUGAAGUCGUAACAAGGUAGCCGUA
rnacentral:rRNA from 1 species